rnacentral:rRNA from 1 species
AGGUUAAGUUAGAAAGGGCGCACGGUGGAUGCCUUGGCACUAGGAGCCGAUGAAGGACGGGACGAACACCGAUAUGCUUCGGGGAGCUGUAAGCAAGCUUUGAUCCGGAGAUUUCCGAAUGGGGAAACCCACUGCUCGUAAUGGAGUAGUAUCCAUACUUGAAUACAUAGAGUAUGAGAAGGCAUACCCGGGGAACUGAAACAUCCGAUAGUGAACCAGUACCGUGAGGGAAAGGUGAAAAGCACCCCGGAAGGGGAGUGAAAUAGAUCCUGAAACCGUGUGCCUACAAGUAGUCAGAGCCCGUUAACGGGUGAUGGCGUGCCUUUUGUAGAAUGAACCGGCGAGUUACGAUCCCGUGCAAGGUUAAGCAGAAGAUGCGGAGCCGCAGCGAAAGCGAGUCUGAAUAGGGCGCAUGAGUACGUGGUCGUAGACCCGAAACCAGGUGAUCUACCCAUGUCCAGGGUGAAGUUCAGGUAACACUGAAUGGAGGCCCGAACCCACGCACGUUGAAAAGUGCGGGGAUGAGGUGUGGGUAGGGGUGAAAUGCCAAUCGAACCUGGAGAUAGCUGGUUCUCUCCGAAAUAGCUUUAGGGCUAGCCUCAAGGUAAGAGUCUCGGAGGUAGAGCACUGAUUGGACUAGGGGCCCCUACCGGGUUACCGAAUUCAGUCAAACUCCGAAUGCCGAUGACUUAUCCUUGGGAGUCAGACUGCGAGUGAUAAGAUCCGUAGUCGAAAGGGAAACAGCCCAGACCGCCAGCUAAGGUCCCAAAGUAUACGUUAAGUGGAAAAGGAUGUGGAGUUGCUUAGACAACCAGGAUGUUGGCUUAGAAGCAGCCACCAUUUAAAGAGUGCGUAAUAGCUCACUGGUCGAGUGACUCUGCGCCGAAAAUGUACCGGGGCUAAACGUAUCACCGAAGCUGCGGACUGUUCUUACGAACAGUGGUAGGAGAGCGUUCUAAGGGCUGUGAAGCCAGACCGGAAGGACUGGUGGAGCGCUUAGAAGUGAGAAUGCCGGUAUGAGUAGCGAAAGACGGGUGAGAAUCCCGUCCACCGAAUGCCUAAGGUUUCCUGAGGAAGGCUCGUCCGCUCAGGGUUAGUCGGGACCUAAGCCGAGGCCGAAAGGCGUAGGCGAUGGACAACAGGUUGAUAUUCCUGUACCACCUCCUCACCAUUUGAGCAAUGGGGGGACGCAGGAGGAUAGGGUAAGCGCGGUAUUGGAUAUCCGCGUCCAAGCAGUUAGGCUGGGAAAUAGGCAAAUCCGUUUCCCGUAAAGGCUGAGCUGUGAUGGCGAGCGAAAUUUAGUAGCGAAGUUCCUGAUUCCACACUGCCAAGAAAAGCCUCUAGCGAGGUGAGAGGUGCCCGUACCGCAAACCGACACAGGUAGGCGAGGAGAGAAUCCUAAGGUGAUCGAGAGAACUCUCGUUAAGGAACUCGGCAAAAUGACCCCGUAACUUCGGGAGAAGGGGUGCUUCUUAGGGUGUUAAAGCCCCGAGAAGCCGCAGUGAAUAGGCCCAGGCGACUGUUUAGCAAAAACACAGGUCUCUGCGAAGCCGUAAGGCGAAGUAUAGGGGCUGACGCCUGCCCGGUGCUGGAAGGUUAAGAGGAGCGCUUAGCGUAAGCGAAGGUGCGAAUUGAAGCCCCAGUAAACGGCGGCCGUAACUAUAACGGUCCUAAGGUAGCGAAAUUCCUUGUCGGGUAAGUUCCGACCCGCACGAAAGGCGCAACGAUCUGGGCACUGUCUCAACGAGAGACUCGGUGAAAUUAUAGUACCUGUGAAGAUGCAGGUUACCCGCGACAGGACGGAAAGACCCCGUGGAGCUUUACUGCAGCCUGAUAUUGAAUGUUGGUACAGCUUGUACAGGAUAGGUAGGAGCCUUGGAAACCGGAGCGCUAGCUUCGGUGGAGGCAUCGGUGGGAUACUACCCUGGCUGUAUUGACCUUCUAACCCGCUGCCCUUAUCGGGCAGGGAGACAGUGUCAGGUGGGCAGUUUGACUGGGGCGGUCGCCUCCUAAAAUGUAACGGAGGCGCCCAAAGGUUCCCUCAGAAUGGUUGGAAAUCAUUCGCAGAGUGUAAAGGCACAAGGGAGCUUGACUGCGAGACCUACAAGUCGAGCAGGGACGAAAGUCGGGCUUAGUGAUCCGGUGGUUCCGCAUGGAAGGGCCAUCGCUCAACGGAUAAAAGCUACCCCGGGGAUAACAGGCUUAUCUCCCCCAAGAGUCCACAUCGACGGGGAGGUUUGGCACCUCGAUGUCGGCUCAUCGCAUCCUGGGGCUGUAGUCGGUCCCAAGGGUUGGGCUGUUCGCCCAUUAAAGCGGUACGCGAGCUGGGUUCAGAACGUCGUGAGACAGUUCGGUCCCUAUCCGUCGCGGGCGCAGGAAAUUUGAGAGGAGCUGUCCUUAGUACGAGAGGACCGGGAUGGACGCACCGCUGGUGUACCAGUUGUUCUGCCAAGGGCAUCGCUGGGUAGCUAUGUGCGGACGGGAUAAGUGCUGAAAGCAUCUAAGCAUGAAGCCCCCCUCAAGAUGAGAUUUCCCAUUCCGCAAGGAAGUAAGAUCCCUGAAAGAUGAUCAGGUUGAUAGGUCUGAGGUGGAAGCGUGGUGACACGUGGAGCUGACAGAUACUAAUAGAUCGAGGACUUAACCUAUA